UGAGCAAUCUGCCCUUCUCUUCGGAAUAAGCGUUGGAAACGACGUCUAAUGCCGAAUACGACCUCCUUUCGCAUGAUCGGAGGUGGAAAGCUCCGGCGGAGAAGGAUGAGCUCGCGGCCUAUCAGCUAGUUGGUGUGGGUAACGGCCACCAAGGCGACGACGGGUAGCCGGCCUGAGAGGGUGACCGGCCACACUGGGACUGAGACACGGCCCAGACUCCUACGGGAGCAGCAGG
rnacentral:rRNA from 1 species